CCCUUAGAUGUUCUGGGCCGCACGCGCGCUACACUGACGAAGGCAACGAGCUACUCUUCACCGAAAGGUGUGGGUAAUCUUUUGAAACUUCGUCGUGCUGGGGAUAGAUCCUUGCAAUUUUUGAUCUUAAACGAGGAAUUCCUAGUAAGCGCAAGUCAUCAACUUGCGUUGAUUACGUCCCUGCCCUUUGUACACACCGCCCGUCGCUACUACCGAUUGAAUGGUUUAGUGAGGCCUUCGGAUCCGCGAUUAUUUGUGGAGAAGUUGGACAAACUCAGUCAUUUAGAGGAAGUAAAAGUCGUANCA
rnacentral:rRNA from 1 species